rnacentral:rRNA from 1 species
UGAAUACGAGAUGCUACGGCGUCGAAGCAGUGUAUGUCAUACUUCCAAGAAAAGCUCGCUAUGUCAUAAACAAUUAAUGCCUGUACCAUAACCGACACAGGUGGGUAGGUAGAGUAUACUAAGGGGCGCGAGAUAACUCUCUCUAAGGAACUCGGCAAAAUGACUCCGUAACUUCGGGAGAAGGAGUACCUUAUUUAUAAGGUUGCAAUAACAAGAUCCAAGCAACUGUUUACCAAAAACACAGGUCUCCGCUAAGUCGUAAGACGAUGUAUGGGGGCUGACGCCUGCCCAGUGCCAGAAGGUUAAAGAAGUUGGUUAGCAUUCGCGAAGCUGAUGACUGAAGCCCUGGUGAACGGCGGCCGUAACUAUAACGGUCCUAAGGUAGCGAAAUUCCUUGUCGGGUAAGUUCCGACCCGCACGAAAGGCGUAAUGAUUUGGAUACUGUCUCGGAGAGGGGCUCGGUGAAAUAGACUUGUCUGUGAAGAUGCGGACUACCUGCACCAGGACAGAAAGACCCUAUGAAGCUUUACUGUAACUUGAGAUUGAAAUUGGACUUUAUUUGUGCAGUAUAGGUGGGAGGCGUUGAAGAAAUUCUUGCGGGAAUUUUGGAGCCAUCAGUGAGAUACCACCCCUAUAAUGUUAGAUUUCUAACUUUGUAUCAUUAUCUGGUCAAAGAACAGUUUCAGGCGGGCAGUUUGACUGGGGCGGUCGCCUCCCAAAUGGUAACGGAGGCGUACAAAGGUUUCCUCUGAACGGGUAGAAAUCGUAUCUAGAGUAUAAAGGCAUAAGGAAGCUUGACUGUGAGACCUACGAGUCGAGCAGGGACGAAAGUCGGUCUUAGUGAUCUGACGGUGCUGAGUGGAAAGGCCGUCACUCAACGGAUAAAAGUUACUCUAAGGAUAACAGGCUGAUCUCCCCCAAGAGUUCACAUCGACGGGGAGGUUUGGCACCUCGAUGUCGGCUCAUCGCAUCCUGGGGCGGUAGUACGUCCCAAGGGUUGGGCUGUUCGCCCAUGAAAGCGGUACGCGAGCUGGGUUCAGAACGUCGUGAGACAGUUCGGUCCAUAUCCGGUGUAGGCGUUAGAAUAUUGAGAGGAGCCUUCUUUAGUACGAGAGGACCGAGAAGGACAUACCUCUGGUGUACCAGUUAUCGUGCCAACGGUAAACGCUGGGUAGCUAUGUAUGGAGUGGAUAACCGCUGAAAGCAUCUAAGUGGGAAGCCCACCUCAAGAUAAG